GGGAAGUGCUCCUGUAAAUUUGCACUGAGCUAACUAAUGAAAACAUACCAAAAGUAAUGGAGGAACUGAUUGUAAUUCCAGGGGACUAAGAAAUAAGAGAAUGCUUUACCAUUAAGUUACCCAAGCUCUACAGAACACUUGUCCUGAAGGAAGUUUGAAGGGAAUUUGAAUUUACCAACAUGUAAGGGUAACACUUGGACACGGCAGCUUGACAGAACUGGCAGAGGUAAACUGGUCCUAAAGUUAUUUUUUUACACACUUCACUGGCAGCAUCUCUCUGCCAACAUGUCUCAAGGUUGCUUAAAAGACAAGAUUGUACCUUCCAUCUUUGUGAAGGAAUGGGUGCAUCUUCCAGGAGUUAUUCAGCCUGGAAGUCCCAGUUUGCAAAUGUUUUCAUCCAUGUCAAGAAAAGUUACUGGGAGAAACACAGCAAGCUUGUCUAACUGAGAACACGAAAAGCUGCAAGUGAGUCUUUCCUGAUGGAGCACCAGGAGGUGCAAGGAGACAAGGGAAGGAAAGAAACUCGACUAGGGAGCAAAUAUCCCCGAGAUCUGCCUUUGGAUAAUGGAGUUUGUGCCUGUGCAGUUGCCAGUUUGAUGUGGCAUAUGUCUACUGGUUAUUUGUUUGUGUUACUUUAUGGAAGGCAGUUCCUUCCUACAGAAUUCAUCAUUUGUGUAUCCUGAAAACACUUCUGGACACAAGGAACCCCUAUGUUACAGUAAAGAAACAUUUUGGAACAGAAACUACUCAUUUGAACAUUUGGUGCAGAGCACUGCCAGACUUGUGCAGAAUUCCCAUUGCAGGAGUGGCCUGACACAAUGGAAGCACUUUUACUUCAGGAUUUUACUGCCACCACCUGACUGAUAAAUCUAAGGCCCUCAGGUGAUGAGCUCUGCCCUGGAGAGCAGCAGCACAGGCUUCAGCGAGCCCUUUCCACCCCAUUCCAAGCUGCCCCUCAGUGAAUCCAAUUUGAAAUGAGGCAGCAGAUGCCAGCCUGGCUACAGCAGCGUGGAGCUUAAUGUGGGAUGGAAACCCA